GGGGCAUUCAGGCCAAAGCUCGUCCUUGUGGCGUGGCUGGGUCUGGGCUUCCUACGUUUGGAUAGUGGGCAACCGCUUCCAAUCAUUUACUUUGAAAAAAUUAGAGUGUUCAAAGCAGGCAAUCGAGCCUUGAAUACAUUAGCAUGGGAUAAUGGAACAGGAUUGGGGUCCUGAUUUCGUUGGUUUCUAGGAUCUCAGUA
rnacentral:rRNA from 1 species